UGCUGAUUUGUCCUGCAACACAGGAACUUCAGAAACUGACACUGGAACGGCUUGUAAACCAGGAGACUUGAAACAAACGGCUUCGUCACCGAGAGCUUUCGGCCAACAACAUAUAUUUCUUCAAGCCAAAUCUGAGACCACGUCCGGACCGACCUGCCUGAUCUUACGUGGAAUCACCCUGUGAUACCGAAGUAGAAUCUGAAAAGUGCCCCCAUAGCGCUGCUUGGAGGAUACCUGUUCAGGGUAGUGCAGGAA